rnacentral:rRNA from 1 species
ACAGCAGUAGCCGCGGUAAUACGUAGGGUGCAAGCGUUAAUCGGAAUUACUGGGCGUAAAGCGUGCGCAGGCGGUUAUAUAAGACAGAUGUGAAAUCCCCGGGCUCAACCUGGGAACUGCAUUUGUGACUGUAUAGCUAGAGUACGGCAGAGGGGGAUGGAAUUCCGCGUGUAGCAGUGAAAUGCGUAGAUAUGCGGAGGAACACCGAUGGCGAAGGCAAUCCCCUGGGCCUGUACUGACGCUCAUGCACGAAAGCGUGGGGAGCAAACAGGAUUAGAGACCCCUGUAGUCCCUGUCUCUUAUAC